AAAAUAAGUGGCAGUGGUACUAAUUAUACACGUUAUUGCUGCACAUCACAUAUGCUCAUGUCAAAUAAUAUCACAGAAAACAAUCUGUUCCCAUAACUCACCAACAUCAGGUGUUCGAGAAGUUUUAAAGUUUAAAACCUGCAGAAGUCAGAUUUUAUCAGCCUCUAGGCUUAGAGUGAACACAGAGUCUCAUUUUGGUGAGAACGCAGACAUGGGGUGCAAGACUGAACACAAAUGCCUUGUUUUUCUUUCAUAAAAUGACAGGUUUGCCAGUGGUAACAUUUGACUGAUAACAUUUCACAAAGAAAAUAGUUUUUUGUCUUUUUCACACAUUUGUUGCAAAUUAGGAGCAUAAACGUGCAGCUGUUCCACUUCUCAAAGAGUAGCACAGUGCUGCAUAAGUGUGAUGCUACGAGGGAUUUUCUGCUAUUUUGAGCUGCAUUUCUGCAUAAAAAGUCAAAUUAACCCAUAUAAUAUCUGUUGUGGACAGCUUUAGAUAUUAUUUCUAAACCUUAGACAGAAAAAAAAACCUCUGAAAAUAAAAAAUGUGGGAACCAGGAUUGUAUCCUCGGACACUAAAUUCUGUGCACUCUGCAAAAAAAAUCUUAUUCAUAUAAAAUCUUUGAAAAGUGGCUCUCCAGGAGGAGGGCAUGCGCAUGCGCUGACGGCCCAAUCACCAGACACACGGCGACGUUUGAAGCAGAUGGCAGCUUGUUAAUCAACUUCCACAAACAAUUAAGACACAUUGUCGCCUAAUUUACUCACUGACAACGCAAAAAAAUGAAUAAAUCUGGUAAAUAUAACUCACUCAACCUGGAGGUAAGUGGAGAAAAUUUAGAAAAUUUGCAAAUAUAUAUUGACGAGGUUUUUGAGAUUUUUGUCAUGGGACCGAAGAAAGCAGCACCAGCUGAGACGAAACACCUGGGACCAAGAGGAGCUGUCCCCAGGACUCGCCCGAGGCCUCAUCUCCCCAUAAGGAUGUCUUAGAUUUACUACAGUCCAUAGAUAAACGGCUUCUGGGAUUUGAGGGACGACUCCGCCUGCUAGACGUGCUUCACAAGGAGUUCCAGGACCUCCGAACAUCUCUGAAGUUUAGCCAGGAGCAGGUGGAGCGACUCGCGGCUGAGAACGCGUCUCUGCGGGAAUCGGUUUCCUCCUUGACUGCAGGACUAGAUUGGAUCUCCCAGGACAACAAAGUUCUAAAGGAGACGGUUCUGGAUCUCCAAUCACGCAGCAUGAGAGAUAACCUGGUGUUCGCAGGCCUUCCACAGCAGACCGGAGGAGAAGCGGAGGAUUGCGAACAAACCAUCAAGAACUUUCUCCACACCCACAUGAAGAUACCUGAGGAAACGUUUGGAAACAUCACCUUUCAUCGGGUACAUUGCCUUGGAGCCAGGAGAACAGACAGCAGAAGAACUCAUCCCAUCGUGGCUAAAUUUGAGCACUUUAAGCAGAAAGAUCUUGUUAAAAGCCGCGGGAGAGAGCUUAAAGGUAAAGACUACAGCGUAAACGACCAGUUUCCUAAAGAAAUUCUGGAUUGCCGCCGAGUUCUCUUCCCGCUGGGCAAGAAGUUCAUCCAGGAUGGGAAGCGGGCUGUGAUCUCCGUGGAUAAACUGUUUGUUGACGGUAAGAUCUACAAAGAACGAGGAGUAACAGACUGGCUUUAAUAGACAAACUUCAGGUACAACUUUAUUAUUAUUAAAAGCACUCACUGGGUUUGAACAUGUCAGGAUUUAUAGCUGCUAGUGUUGCGAGUCCCCACAUGCCAAAGACAGUGGCAAGUACGGGGUCAAAAGGUGAGCCACACUGGACUGGCUUGUGCGAGCAAAAUCAGCCAGCCGACAGGAGCUGGGUUGCAGGUCAAAAAACUGUGGUCAGAAACAAGGGCCACACAAGGGUCACAGGGACAAGAGGACAGAACUGGGCGAAAGGUCAGGAGACUGACCCAACCUCUGGCCCCACCCCUGGCUUAGGAAAGAUGGGAUUGGAGGAGAACAGAGUGAAGACAAGCCCAUCGGAUCCAGGAGCCAUCUCAGGAAUGCUGAAGGAAGAUCUACAAUUUGCUGCAAAAGAUGAUGUAAUGACCUGUGCCAUUAUGUAGAGUACUGCUUGUAAUGACCUGUGUUAAGAAGAAUGCUGCAUGAUACCAAAUGUCUUGUGUUGAGCUACAAAGUGUGUGUCUGGUAAAUGACCCCAUGACCUUAAGCUGGCCCAGGAAGGGUAUAUAAGAACAGCUCUGAACAGCAGAGUGAGAUUGAGAGAGAGCUGGGGCAGGCGACAAGAAGAGACAGAGCAGAUUUGGAGGGGUCAUCCCCCGUCCAAACCUGGAUGGGGGAUGACAGACUUUGGAGAUUUCCAAGAGAGUUUUUGGGGAGAUUCCAAGACGAGAGCUGGGGAGAUUCUCAGAAGACAGGAGCUAGUGUAAACUAACUCUUAUUUAAUCAUUUUGAACUAAUUCCUCCUUGGGGGAUAGCAGUUGUUUUUUAUUUACCCAUUUUUGUAUUUUUGAUUUUGUAAUAAACCUUUUUUGAAAAAGAAACAUAAUCCUGAUUCUUUCAGGUUUUCUCUAAAGCUUCACGUUUGGAGCCCUGGCCAUAAUUGCACAGAGGUAAGCAUGUCGAUCAUAGGUCUCUGAAUUAUCAGGACUUACUUUACAGUUUGUAAUAAAAUAAUAUAAAGAAACCUUAAGAUAAGGGGAGUUUAACUCCCCCCUCCUUGCGAGUAACGAGUUGUCUUAAGGGCGAUAAAAACAGAAUAUUAGAGGUUAUUUUUGGCUCUGAUUGCAGGUUGAAAAAGUCUCUAACAGCUGGAGUGGUUGGAUUAAUAAAUAAAUUGAUAAACUUAUGAUAGCCUGAUCAACUAGCAUAAAUCAUUUUAUAGUUACCAACCUCCCACAUAAGCUGUUAGAGGCGCAAUUAAUCCGGAUAACCCAAACAAUUGCUGAGAGGCUUGGCUUGCCUCCAGACUUCUCUCUAGUAUCUUAACCAAAAGGUAACGAGUUUAAAAGAAGUGGACUACUCUGGGGAUUGCUGUUCGUGCAAGUCAUUUCACCUUUAAAAUAAAAGACACGAUUCUAAUUAGGUGGUCCAAACCCGGGUCUAGUACGUUUAAACUCGCCAACACCCCCACUCGAACCCUGAUGGAUGCACCGUCUCAUAAGUUCUAACGGAACCGGUAAAUGGGACGGGCACGCGACACUAGAUCCGUUUAGAAAUGUUCACCUGUUCCCUCACCACCUCACACCCACAACACUUUUUCUUUUCUUUCUUCUUUUUUCCUCUUUUUAAAGAGCAAGUAACGUCUAAAUUAACUUUUUUUUUUGCUGAUGAACUGUAUAAAUGAGUGUCUAAUAGUGUUUUAAAUGUGUGUAUUCAUUAUUUUAGCAUUUUGGUGCAUUUUCUUUAAAAAUUAAAAAUUCUGCCUAAAUACCACAGUAUAGCUCCACCUUCAGCUUAAAACAUAGAAUUUGACUCAUUUUGAAUAAAUUUUAGCCAAUGGCUAAAGAGUAAGAUACUACGUAAACCAGUAGAGUACUACGUAGCAGCUCUGUGUCAACGUUAUAAAAGCAUCGGGAGUCUCGGCCACGCCUUGUGGCGAGUUGGGAGUUGGAUUUGCAAGCGAGUGUAGGAGGUUAGCCGUAGUUCAGCAUUAGCAUAUAGCAUUAGCAUAUCCUAGUCUUUAGCAUAGCUUUUAGUGUUAUACAUACUUAUUUAGUGUUAGCUUGGCUGUUGGAUAUUGUAGUUUAGUUACUGUUUGGCUGUUAGUGUAAUUAGGAAAGUAGUUCGGGUUUAGUGCUCCAUAUCGUGUUAGUAUGGUGAGAUGGUGUAGUGUAGUAUGGUUGCGGAGCUCUGUCGGGUUGCACUCCUUUCCGCUGGACUUAGAAAUUAGGCGCCAGUGGUUGCGUGUCUGGAAAAGAUUCAGCUCCCGCCUGGUGCUGUAGUUUGCAACCAGCAUUUUACCCGCGAUUCUGCACGUCUCCGUUCCAAGAGGGAGGCUGUGCCCACCGUGGCUCUUCCGCGAUUUAGAUACAGCCCACCGACUCUGCUCCCCCACCAUGACGGGCUCCAGUCUGAGGUGAGUAAGCUAAAUAAAAGUUUUAACAUCUUCUAAAGACAAUUCCCUUCCUAAAUGCAAAGUUUGAGAGACGUGGUUCACUCCAUUUAGCUAAUAUCAGCCUGCACUGCCUUCGGGCUGAUUUGUCAAGUUCACAAAAUGUGGAACGGGAUGUAAGGUUAGAAUCAGCGGCGAAUCGGAACAUAUCUCGAAGCCCUGGCUGACAAAACGGUCCACAUGACUAUUACUGUCAGGCUCGGAGAAAAUUCGGGUUGUUUUUGUGUCAGUCGGUAAUUCUGCAACAGUGACUCUGACGCAGCACUAGUUGACAGACAGCAUUACAGCGUGAAAUCCAGCACAGCGUGACCCGGUUCUGUGAGGAAUUCUGUUCAGGAGGUCGCAUUUCAGGAUCUCCACAUCAUGUGUGACUGACUUUUACGUUAUAAUAACAUCACACACUAGGAAUGUUAUAAAGUGCCUAUAUGGGACAGUUUCUUUUGUAUUUUAUCUGACUUUAUAAACAUCAAUGUGCUUCUAUUUUUUUUCAGGCUAAAUCUACCCAAGACACUGGCUGUCAGACUGAUUUAGUAGUCUGCAAGAAUGCACUUGUCCCGGCUGACGUGGUGUUACCCGUAGCAAAGAGCUCACAGCCUCAGUGUCUUGUGACACAGGGACCAUGACAGAAAUUCAUCUUCCAGAAGGUCCCAGAGCAUCCACACCUCCUGAAAAGACCAAGAUGUGAGGUGUCUGCUGUUGAUUCCAGCUUCCACCUCAGUGACAGUGCAAGCUCAGUGAACUGUUCAAGGAGGCUACUGAUUCUGGCCCUGUGACACUUGGUGGUGACGUGUGAGCUGAUUCACCUGGACACUCAGCAAAAUAUGGACUCGACACCAUGAGGCAGGCACACGUUAAUAACUCUAUAAGAGCACAUAAGCCUGGCUGAUCACCUGAUAACUCCUGUCAUCUGGUUAUGACAGCAUGAGGAUGUCCUCACACACCUGUAACCUAUCAGCUCAUCUGGCAGAAUAGAGAGAGAAGAGACAACACCACAUCUCCUGUUCCUGGAAAGCCUUCAGCCUUCCUUCGAUGACUGAGAACCUCCAUCAGCUCUGUCUCCUGUCUGCCUAUAAUUAUUAUAAUAAAUAUUGUGUUUGACAAGUUUUUUGUGCUGCCAAAUAUCUCAUUUUGAUUCCAGUUUUGAUAUUUUAAUGGAUAUUUAUAAAUUACAUUAAUUGAAUUAUCACAUUGUCGCAUGUUUAUCUAGCUCUAUUGUGAUGAACUAAACUAGCACCUCACUGUUAAAAGCUUGUUUUAAUUUCAAGCAUGUUUAAGUAUUUAUGGACAUGAACAAAAACAGGAAAUAUAUAAAUUGAGAUUUAUUUAAUUAAUAUAACAAAUAAGGGGGAAAGAGUCAUUGAAAGGCAUAUUCUUCUGGAAGCUCCUGAUCCUGACGACACCAGAGACCAGCUGCAGACACCAGAGGACCUAGAACCAAGAGAGCAGCUGUUAUCAGUAAAUAAAUAAAUCAGGGCAGUUUUAGUGAGCUGAACACAUUACAGAAUAAUUUUCUCAUGGGGUAUUUUCAUAACUUUCUAUGCAGCAGACUGUAACUUGAGCCCAGGGCUACCGGAGAGCUGCUAUCCAGCACGUUUCAGUGGUUUUCCUGCUUUAACAGGUUAGAUUAGCUGUUAAGCAGCUCAGCUAUUUGUUGCUGAUUAAAACCAGGUGUGUUGAAGCAGAUAAACCUCUAAAACAUGCUGAAUACUAGCUUUUUAGGGCCUUGGAGCCAAACCCUGCAGCUAAUCCAAUGCUAUGGCUAACGGCUACUUACCAUUCAGAGCUGGUUCUAUUGGGUCGGUUCUGCUAGUUUCAGGCAACUCACAAGCUCAAAACAAUAAGGCUCAGGUCCGCUUGUCUCCUCCAAAUAGACUUGGUCCCUUUCUUCUCGAGUGUCUGGGUAAGGAGGGGGAGAAACGUCCUCCACUUCUAAUAACUGCUCAGAGUGAAGGGAGCUAGCUUCGUCUAGUUAGCCAUCGUCUUCGUCACUGCCGCGGCUCCGCCCUCUCGGUCCUCCAGGCAAUGCCUACUAAUGUUGCAUUUUUUAAAAUUGAUACGUGGGUGGAGAAGGAGUCCGAGGCUCACUUAACCCGCUCUUUAAGUCUUUAGAGGCAUCCACAGAAGAAGAGUUACUUAGCAAAUUACGUAAAGCUAAAUUAGAACUUCAUGGAAUUAUUGACAAAAAGACACAAUUUUUAGCACAAAGACUACGAAUAGAAAACUUUGAACAUAGUAAUAAAUCAGGUAAAUUUUUAGCUAGCCAGUUAAAACUUUAUAAAGAGAAAACUACCAUAUCUGCUGUUAAAGACUCAACCGGGAAUAUAGUUUAUGACCCUGAAAGAAUAAACAACACUUUCAGAGAUUUUUACCAAACUUUGUACUCACCACAGAUAAACCCAUCAGAUAACGAGAUCAAUGAGUUCCUUGACAGGAUAACACUUCCUAAAUUAUCAGACAGCCAAGCUACAGUCCUGGACUCACCACUAACAUCAGCUUAGCUCCAGGAAUCCCUUAAAUCCAUGACUAAUAGGAAAGCUCCAGGUCCAGAUGAGUUUCCAGCAGAGUUCUACAAAGAAUUCUGGAUCAUUCUGGCUCCAACAUUUUUCAGAAUGGUGAGGGAAAUCGAAGAGAGCGGCAGAUUACAGCCAAACAUGAAUUCAGCCAAUAUUAGUCUCUUGUUAAAACCAGGCAAAUACCCUGCAUUUCCUACCAGCUAUCACCCAAUUUCUCUUAUUAAUGUUGAUCUCAAAAUAAUUUGUAAAGCCCUGGCAAAAAGAUUAGAGAAGGUAACCCCCUUCAUAAUACACCCUGACCAAACUGAUUUCAUCAAGGGUAGACAGUCAUCCACAAACUCACGUAGAUUACUUAAUUUGAUAGAUUUCUCUUACAGUAGAAACAUAGAAACUAGUAUAUUAUCUCUAGAUGCAGAAAAAGCUUUUGAUAGAGUUAACUGGAAAUUCUUAUUUGCAACUUUACAUAAAUUUGGCUUUGGGAACUUCUUCAUAAAGUGGCUACAAACAUUAUACAGUUCACCCACAGCACGUGUCAGGACGAACGACCAAAUAUCAGCUAGCUUCUGUCUUCAGAGGGGGACCAGGCAGGGAUGCCCGCUCUCCCCCUCACUGUUUGCUAUUUUUAUCGAACCACUAGCGGCAGCAAUUAGGCAAACAACAGAUAUUAAAGGGAUAGAGUGUAAGAAAAUAGAACAAGAUCAGUCUUUAUGCAGAUGAUGUUUUACUCUUUCUCCAGAAUUCUCAAUCCUCUCUCACAUUCAAUAGAACUGAUAAACUCUUUUUCGAGAGUUUCAGAUUACUCUAUAAACUGGUUAAAAUCCACAGUUCUACCAAUUAAUUUCUCUUUUGUCAAUUUGCUUAAUACACAACUGGAGUCAGGGAAUAUCACAUACCUGGGAAUUAAUGUCCCUCCCAAGUUGGCAGAUCUAACCAAACUAAACUACAUCCCACUUUUAAAGAAAAUGGAAGAUGAUCUUGCAAGAUGGAAAUCCUUACCGAUAUCACUCAUGGGGAGUGCUACAAUUAAAAUGAUGGUCUUACCCAGAAUAAAUUACUUAUUUUCAAUGAUCCCAAACAAACCACCAGCUGACUGGUUUAAAUCUCUGGCCUCCUCAAUUACUAAAUUCCUUUGGCAGGAUAAACCUCCACGAAUUUGCUUAAAAACAAUUCAGAAGACCAAAGAAAGAGGAGGACUGGAUUGACCCAACUUUUAUUAUUAUUUCUUAGUCAACAGGCUGCAAUAUAUACCAAGAUGGCUGCAAGAUAACCCACUAGAUGAGUCCUGGUUAGAUAUAGAACAGACACUUUGCAAUACGAUAGAGCUUUCAGACUUACCAUUUAUUAGCUCAAGCAUAAAAAACAUGAAAGCUUCAAAAGUAUUAGUAUCAGCACCUCUCUGACAGCAUGGUGGGAGUAUCUUAAAAUGACAGAGUCUUCACUAGUACCAUGCAGACACACACCUAUCUGGACAUUUUGCAAAAUAACCAAAUGAUGAACCUUCCAGACUGGAAAAAUAAAGGAAUCCUAUACCUGGAACACAUAUAUGAAGGAUUGGACUUCAUCCCAUUUAAUAGAAUAGUCUCCCAAUUUGGAAUGGAUAAGAAUAGCUUUUUAGAAUACCACCAAAUUAAAUCUGUAGUCAAACAAAAAUUUAAGCUCAAUAAAAUAGAAUUACAAACACCACCAAGGGUAUUAGACUUCUAGAAUCUCAAACCCCCUAAACUACUGUCUAAAGUAUAUAAGACACUGUCCAAAAUGGACGAUAAAAUUGCAAUCCCUAUUGAAAAAUGGGAGGUGGAUCUAUCAGUUAGCUUUGACCUGAACUUCUGGUCCCAAACUUGUUUAAAAACUUUUAAAAUGAUCAGACAUCCAAUUUACAAUUAAUUCAGUGCAAAAUUCUACACAGAGUACACUAUACAGGUCAUCGGAUGUUCAAGAUGGGGUUUGUGUCGUCUGACGCAUGUACACACUGCACAAACAACAUUCCUGACAAUUACAUUCAUGCGCUGUGGUCCUGUCCACCUGUCCAGGAAUUUUACUGUAGUAAGUGAGGAUCUGUCAAAAUGUCUGAAAUGUCAUAUCCCAACUUCCCCCUCUCUUUGUUUACUGGGAAACCUGGACGAUGUCCCGAUUGAAACAUCUUUGGUUCACGUGGUUCUGACUGCCAUAUGCAUCGCUAAGAAAACUAUCCUCUUGAAUUGGAAAAAUAGAGAAACUCUCUGCAUUAACCAGUAUAGAAAUCUUUUGUUAGAUCAUAUUACACUUGAUAUAGCCUCUGCUUCCACUUUAGAUCAAUCUCUCUGGCUCCUUUGAUCGGUUCCAUCACAUACCGAUGAUGGGGGGCCAUUGAUAUUGUCCUGCGGGAUGAUGUGGGAGGGGGGGUGGAGGGUCUGAGUUUGGAGUAUCCGGAUGUUCCCUGGAGGUGGGUUGACUGGGGGUGUCUGGGACUGGGGGGCCGUUGCCCCCCCUCUGGAGGUGCUUGGGUGUCCUCGAGGGGUGGACUACUGGCGGUUGUGAGUGGGGCCCCUUGGAGGUCUUGGCGGCGACCAUGGGUCACUGCCUGGCAG